CCUACGGGUGGCAGCAGUGGGGAAUAUUGCGCAAUGGACGAAAGUCUGAACCAGCCAAGUAGCGUGAAGGAUGACUGCCCUACGGGUUGUAAACUUCUUUUAUAAAGGAAUAAAGUGAGGCACGUGUGCCGUUUUGUAUGGACUUUAUGAAUAAGGAUCGGCUAACGCCGUGCCAGCAGCCGCGGUAAUCCGGAGGAUCCGAGCGUUAUCCGGAUUUAUGGGGUGUAAAGGGGGCGGAGAUGGGGUGUUCAGUCCGUGGGGAAAGUUUGCGGCUAAACCGUAAAAUUGCAAUUGAUACUGGCAGUCUUUGGUACAGUUGAGGUCGGCGGCAUGCGUGGUGUAGCGGUGAAAUGCUUAGAUAUCACGAAGAACUCCUAUUGCGCAGGCCGCUUACUCAGCUGCAUCUGACAUUGCUGCUCGAAAGUGUGGGUAUCAAACAGGAUUAGAUACCCGAGUAGUC
rnacentral:rRNA from 1 species